UCCUCUGUCUUUGCAUGUGUUGUAGAUCAUCGACCAGGAUAUCAACCCCUAUGUGGACCAAUGGGAGGCAGAGGGGAUAUUUCCUGCCCACAAAGUCUUCAAGCUCUUGGGAAAUGCUGGCUUUCUGGGUGUCAACAAGCCAGUUGAGUAUGGAGGCCUGGGUCUGGACUUCAGCUACAGUAUAGCCGUGUCAGAGGAGCUGGGUAACAUCCGCUGUGGAGGCAUCCCCAUGGCCAUUGGAGUCCAGACUGAUAUGGCCACACCUGCCCUGGCCAGGUUUGGCUCUACAGAGCUGAAGAAGGAGUUUCUGCUGCCCUCCAUAAUGGGAGACAAAGUGGCCUGUCUGGGAGUGAGUGAAGUCGGAGCCGGCUCAGAUGUUGCUAGUACGUUGCCUUCAUUUAGUAUUCCACCAGUAUUUUAUUAUAGCCUAACUUCUUCUCAUCCCUAAAGCAGAUUCUCAGUAAACACUCAACCAAUCUGGGACGGAAAAGGAGGCUCAAUAUAUUUCUAAUGUGGGGGACAUCAGAGCACCAGCAUGAUUAAAACACUCUUAAUGGCAAAUGAUAGCAUGAAAAUAACAAAUAU